GAUCAAAGUGAGCUCGUGGCAUUUUUAUGAGAUCAACUUCAGUGCCUCUUUACUUGUAAUCAGACGCCUGGGUCGAAAAUGCAAAAGGGAACAGCCCAUCAAUCCAAAAAGGAAAAGGAGAGAGAGAGAGAGAAAGAGAGAGAGAGAGAGAGAAAGAGAUGUGGAGUGAAAAAAUUCAGGUGACACAUAGCAAGAUUCUGGUCACUAACAAAAAAGAUCCUUUGCCUGCAGCAAGAAUGGUUUGUAGGUCUGUCCCAGCCUCCAGGCCCUGCCGUCUGCCUGCACAUUUCCCCCAAUUUCCCGGAGCCAGGAGCCUGACUCGCCUGUGUUCUGAAGCUUGAUCCAAAACCUUCCACAGUGUGACACUGUACAUGGGAACACAGGCUGGGAGGGCUCCCGGCAAAGAGGCCUGGCAGCUCCACUGACCACCCCUACUGCUCCUGACUGAUCCCCUCUGGGCCCCAGGCCCCACUUCAGGUCCCAGAGAGCCCUUAGGCACCCUCAGCCAGUGCUACCCUGGAGGAAAAGGAUCAAGGAUUCCACUUCAGGCUCCUCUCUCCGGGCGUCUUUGGUUUGGCGAGCCUGCCGGCUGCCCAGAGCCCAGGCCGCCGCCGCUGCUGCUCCGGAACUCCCUUUCCCUCCAGCGCGCCGCCUCACUCUCGCCGUCUCCCUGCCUCCCUCCAUCCUACCACUGCCCCAGCUCUCAGACCAACAAAUAUCUAGUAUACUUGUUUCUCCGCACCCAAGGCCUCGGCUGAGCCGGCUCAGCGCUCUGGGAUCGCUGCCGGAUCCCCGGGUCCUUGCGCGGGCGCCCUUCGCUCCCACUCCUGCCGGCGGCAGGCUCUUCCUUUACUCCUUGCCGGGUUAAAAUGCUUCUCUCUCGCUUUCCUGCCUCUCCCCCUUUCUUUCCGCCUCUGGAUGUGAGAAAUAAAUAAAUCCAAGCCUCCUACCCCAUCAACCCUCCCCACUCGUGCUGCCUCACUUGUCCUCCUUACCGAAUGUACCGCCUUGUUUUCAGAAGGAAAUCUUAAUAGACAUUUAAGCUGUAAAUGAACUUUUUCUUUGUGACGGCUAAUUUUCUCUCAAAUUUACACCCUGCUCCGUUUCGUGGUGAAAUAGCAGGGAGUUAGAAGUCUGCUGUAGAGGAGGAGGGGAGUGGGGAGCUCAGGGUUACAAGGCAGUGGCGAGAGAGACGCAAGAUCGAGAGAUAGAGAGAGAAAAGAGGCGUCGGCAUGGGGAGAGGAGAGAGAGGAGGGAGAGAGAGGGAGGGAGGGAGAGAGAAGGAAGGUGGGA
rnacentral:lncRNA from 1 species